UACAGAGGGUGCAAGCGUUGUUCGGAAUUAUUGGGCGUAAAGAGCGUGUAGGCGGCCAGACAGGUCCGUUGUGAAAACUCGAGGCUCAACCUCGAGACGUCGACGGAAACCGUCUGGCUAGAGUCCGGAAGAGGAGUGUGGAAUUCCUGGUGUAGCGGUGAAAUGCGCAGAUAUCAGGAAGAACACCUAUGGCGAAGGCAGCACUCUGGGACGGUACUGACGCUGAGACGCGAAAGCGUGGGGAGCGAACAGG
rnacentral:rRNA from 1 species